rnacentral:tmRNA from 1 species
GGGGGCGUAAAGGUUUCGACGGGGAUUGUGAGCCUUGGUAAGCGAGUAGCGGUGCGGGCCCGCUUUAAAAUCCGCAACUUUUAAAAACAAACGACAACAACACUGUUGCGCUCGCGGCCUAAUUAGGCUGCCGUCUCUACCCGGAAUACCGCGGCCGGGAUAGAGGCGUGAUGAAGCGGUGAACGUGAACGGGGAGGUGCCGCUGUCCCCGUCAUGAACAAGGCGGCUACCGUAACUGGAAGCCUGCCGUUCGGCGUCCGGUGAGGGGAAUCCCAAAAGAUCGGCUGCACUCGGAGAAAGCCUCGGCAAGUGAUUUUCGGACAGGGGUUCGAUUCCCCUCGCCUCCACCA